CAGGAAAGGGAUUAGUGCCUUGCUGGGAUCACAAGAGAGCAUGCUUCCGCUCUGACUCCCUGUGUCAGGACAGAAGACAGCAUCCGUGUACAACAAGGAAAAAGGCUCUUGCCAAAGCCAUCAUGCGCCCUGGUCUCAUACUCCUAACCCCCCAAGCAGGAGCUCCAUGCCUUAAGGCACCCGCGGCACUCACAGCGCAAGGAGGCCCCCAUCCACAGGCUCAGCCACAUGACAGGCCCAGAAGCAGCCAGCACAACUGCCGGCGAUGCCUGCCAACAAGCCAGAUGCUGCCGCACAUUGGCAUCUGGGUCCUGGAAUAGCAAGCAAGCUCUCAGUCUGGCUAGGGAUUCUGACCCCAGCUUCGGAAGGAGACAAAAACAGGGAAGAAAGAGUGGGACGAGGGGAUGGAGGUCGGCUGGGGAAAGCUCUCUUGGUAAUUUCCCUACGGUGGAUUUAGAGCUAACAAAAGUCUCCUUGGAAAGCUGCUCCAGGAGCCGCAAUGGUGGAAGAAGUGAGAAUGAAGAGAGCGAGCGUCCUGGCACCUGGGAAGUGGGGGUGGCUGCUUCUAAAGGAGACAGCUGCAGCAGGCAGCUUCUCUCCCUCCUGUCCUCCAGCCAUGAUGGCCCACGGUGGGGCUAAGCUUUGUGGGACAUGGCUGUAAUCUGCAGCAGGGGACAGAGGAGCAGUAUCGGUGGCUGUCGAGAGCCUGCUCUCCAGGUGCCAAGGCUCACCACCGCCAGCCAGGCCAACUGAGUGGCGAGAGCCAGAUCCAGACCCCAUUCGGAAGGGAGCCUUACAGUCAGAAAAGGUGCAGUCAGUGGGUUCUGUCCUCAGAUACAGGGUGAAGGAGACAGGAAGCCUCCAGUGCUGUGGGGUCACACAGACGGAGGCUGAGCUCAGGGGAGGCCAAGGCUAAGUGUAGGGUGGGGAGUGAAACAGGAAAAUAAAAAGCAAACAGCAGUCCUUUCCUAAAACAGCAAAUUCUACCCAGCAUCCUCUUGGUUCCAUUUCCAUGCCUGAACCCUAGGAUCAGCCUGUGCUCAGAAGAGUCCAGCACCUGCAGCCGCAGAGCCAUGCAGAACUGUCCCUUGUGUGACAGAGCAUCUGUCUGGGACUGGGUAUCACAGCCUUUACUUAGACUCCUGAUGCCCCUCUGGCCAUCACAGGUGAAACUGCAUAACACUUCCUCCCUAUGGUCUCUUAGACAACAGUGUCAUUUAGAAAGGCCAAUGUUACUAGUACCAUGGCCGCGUCAGCACAACGUAGACACAGGAAGUAGCUGCUCACGUGGACCUCUCCUGGAUGCUGCUCAUGCAGUUCUGCUUCCAUCAGACACGGUCUCAUCUGACAGAGGCUGGCCUCGAACUCCUCACGCUCCUGCCACAGCCUUCCUACUGCAAACACAAUUAUCUGAACAUUUUAUAGGUGUUUUCCAAAAUUGAAUGAGUAUAUACCUUUUAAAGGUCUCAGCUAAUGUAUUCCUAAUACUUUAUAAAAUAUCCUUCUGGUGAAA